rnacentral:rRNA from 1 species
AACGAACGCUGGCGGCAGGCCUAACACAUGCAAGUCGAGCGAGGACUUCGGUUCUAGCGGCGGACGGGUGAGUAACGCGUGGGAAUGUGCCCUUCUCUACGGAAUAGCCCUGGGAAACUGGGAGUAAUACCGUAUACGCCCUUUUGGGGAAAGAUUUAUCGGAGAAGGAUCAGCCCGCGUUGGAUUAGGUAGUUGGUGGGGUAAUGGCCUACCAAGCCGACGAUCCAUAGCUGGUUUGAGAGGAUGAUCAGCCACACUGGGACUGAGACACGGCCCAGACUCCUACGGGAGGCAGCAGUGAGGAAUCUUAGACAAUGGGGGCAACCCUGAUCUAGCCAUGCCGCGUGAGUGAUGAAGGCCUUAGGGUUGUAAAGCUCUUUCAGCUGGGAAGAUAAUGACGGUACCAGCAGAAGAAGCCCCGGCUAACUCCGUA